rnacentral:rRNA from 1 species
CCUACGGGUGGCUGCAGUGAGGAAUAUUGGUCAAUGGACGAGAGCCUGAACCAGCCAAGUAGCGUGAAGGAAGACGGUCCUAUGGAUUGUAAACUUCUUUUAUCGGGGAGUAAAACACUCCACGCGUGGCAUUUCGUAUGUACCAUAUGAAUAAGGAUCGGCUAACUCCGUGCCAGCAGCCGCGGUAAUACGGAGGAUCCGAGCGUUAUCCGGAUUUAUUAGGUUUAAAGGGUGCGUAGGCGGAUUGUUAAGUCAGGUGUGAAAGUUUGCGGCUCAACCGUAAAAUUGCAGUUGAAACUGGCAGUCUUGAGUACAGGAGAGGUGGGCGGAAUGCGUGGUGUAGCGGUGAAAUGCUUAGAUAUCACGAAGAACUCCGAUUGCGAAGGCAGUUCACUGGACUGCAACUGACGCUGAGGCUCGAAAGUGUGGGUAUCAAACAGGAUUAGAUACCCGGGUAGUC